AUGUCUUUCUCUUUCAUUGCAGCAAGUGCCACAGCCCCGACGGUUUUCCCAUUGCCUCCCUGUAGCCAAGAUGACGACACCGCCUCCCAGGUCUCCAUAGGUUGUCUGGUCUCUGGCUACUUCCCUGAACCAGUCACAGUGCAAUGGAAUUCAGGAGCCAUCUCCAGCGGCAUCCGAACCUUCCCUGCCCUAUUGGAUUCAUCCAGUGGCCUCUACACUCUCACCAGCCAGCUCACCAUCCCAACCAGCACCUGGGAAUCGGAGAAGCUUGAAUGCAAAGUCGCCCAUGCAGCUACCAGCUCUGAAAUCACCAAGGAGAUUGAGCGCUCUAUUGCACUACCUCCAGUGGCCCCAGAAGUCCGCCUGCUCCAUUCCUCUUGCAAACCCAGAUCCAGUGAUGCCACCAUUGAGCUGAUGUGCGUGAUCUCUAGCUUUUACCCCAAAACGGUGGCAGUGGAAUGGCUGGUGGGUGGGCAAGCUGGGCUCUUGGCUUCAUUCACUGAGCAGCCCAGGAAAGAUGCCCACGGAUACACCUUCAGCACCACAAGCACAGUCAACGUCAGCCAAGAAGACUGGCAGGCUGGGAAUGUCUACCACUGCCAGGUGUUCCACGAAGAAACCCAAACCAAAGUGAAAAGCAAAGCCAAGAUAUGUGAAGAUAAUGCUGAAUGCCCCUCCAGCGGCAUUAAUGUGCACAUCAUACCCCCAACGCCACAAGACCUGUAUGUAAACAACGACCCCAAGCUCACUUGUGUGGUGGAGAAUCUGGAAAACGCAGAUGGGCUGAAAGUCACCUGGUCACGAGCGGAUUCUGGACCCGUGAGCCCAGAACUACUGGAAGUGAAAGAAGAACGUAAUGGAAGGUUCACUGCUACCAGCUCCCUCCCUGUCACCACGUGGCUGCAGGGUGAGAAAUUCACCUGCAAUGUGGAAUAUCCAGGCUUGACUGCUCCCAUCACUAAGACCAUUGCCAAGACAACAGGCACGAGAACCCCUCCCGGAGUGUUCCUCUACCCCCCUCACCACGAGGAAAUCAACGCUCAGCCAGCAAUGCUGACCCUCACCUGCCUGGUCACAGGAUUCACCCCAAAAGAAGUUUCUAUCCAGUGGCUGAGGAAUCACAAUGCCAUGCCUGGAGACCAUCAUGUCAACACUCCGGUCAUAAAGGACAACAAGAACGACUCCUACUUUCUAUACAGCCACAUGAAAAUCCCAUUCGCUGACUGGAACAACGGAGUUUCACACACCUGUAUGGUUAUCCACGAAGCCCUCCCCAUGAAGUUCACCCAGAGGACCGUGGAGAAAACCCAGGGUAAAAAGACGACUGUGUCAGCAGAUGUUGAUUAUAGUGAUGAGAAAAAGGAGGAACUGGAUAACUUGUGGGUGACCAUCUUUGUUUUCUUCCUUCUCUUCAUCCUCAGUGUUUGCUAUAGUGCCACCGUGACACUGUUCAAAGUAAAAUGGCUCUUCUCUAGGAUGCUGCAGCUGAAGAAGCAGCCACCAGGCCCUGACUAUAAGAAUGUGAUCCAACGAAUGGCCUAG